GCAAACCAUAAACUAGUCGUGUAGGAAAAGUGAAUAGCUCAUAUCCGCUCGGUCUUGUAUAGUGCAGAACAUACACGGAAAUGGUCGAGUUCGCCCGUUACCAACAAAAUAGAGAAAGAAAAACAAACAAGGGAUCUCAAAAUUAAAUCAGCGAAAAAUUUAUGGUUUCCGCAGUGAUCGAACAACCUCCGCUGAUACUAUAUUAAAUAAAAAGUGUAACGGAUGUCCGACCUAGCCUCAGGCCAUCUAUUUGAAAAUUCAAAAAUAAAUAUAACGAGAACAAACGGGAAGUUAUCUGACAUUAGGUAAUGAUAGUUUGGGGCACCACCAUCUGUAAUAACGCAAAAGAAGCAUUGGCAACAAGCCGUGAAUGGAGAGUUUAAAAAUGAA